rnacentral:rRNA from 1 species
GACGAACGCUGGCGGCGUGCUUAACACAUGCAAGUCGAGCGGUAAGGCCCUUUCGGGGGUACACGAGCGGCGAACGGGUGAGUAACACGUGGGUGACCUGCCCUCAGCUCUGGGAUAAGCCCGGGAAACUGGGUCUAAUACCGGAUAUGACUCCAUGACGCAUGUUGUGGGGUGGAAAGCCUUGUGCGGCUGAGGAUGGGCCCGCGGCCUAUCAGCUUGUUGGUGGGGUGAGGCCUACCAAGGCGACGACGGGUAGCCGGCCUGAGAGGGCGACCGGCCACACUGGGACUGAGACACGGCCCAGACUCCGUACGGGAGGCAGCAGUGGGGAAUCUUGCGCAAUGGGCGAAAGCCUGACGCAGCGACG